rnacentral:rRNA from 1 species
UUGAGUUUGAUCCUGGCUCAGAGCGAACGCUGGCGGCAGGCUUAACACAUGCAAGUCGAGCGGGCGUAGCAAUACGUCAGCGGCAGACGGGUGAGUAACGCGUGGGAACGUACCUUUUGGUUCGGAACAACACAGGGAAACUUGUGCUAAUACCGGAUAAGCCCUUACGGGGAAAGAUUUAUCGCCGAAAGAUCGGCCCGCGUCUGAUUAGCUAGUUGGUGAGGUAACGGCUCACCAAGGCGACGAUCAGUAGCUGGUCUGAGAGGAUGAUCAGCCACAUUGGGACUGAGACACGGCCCAAACUCCUACGGGAAGCAGCAGUGGGGAAUAUUGGACAAUGGGCGCAAGCCUGAUCCAGCCAUGCCGCGUGAGUGAUGAAGGCCCUAGGGUUGUAAAGCUCUUUUGUGCGGGAAGAUAAUGACGGUACCGCAAGAAUAAGCCCCGGCUAACUUCGUGCCAGCAGCCGCGGUAAUACGAAGGGGGCUAGCGUUGCUCGGAAUCACUGGGCGUAAAGGGUGCGUAGGCGGGUCUUUAAGUCAGGGGUGAAAUCCUGGAGCUCAACUCCAGAACUGCCUUUGAUACUGAGGAUCUUGAGUUCGGGAGAGGUGAGUGGAACUGCGAGUGUAGAGGUGAAAUUCGUAGAUAUUCGCAAGAACACCAGUGGCGAAGGCGGCUCACUGGCCCGAUACUGACGCUGAGGCACGAAAGC